CCUACGGGAGGCAGCAGUGGGGAAUAUUGCACAAUGGGGGAAACCCUGAUGCAGCGACGCCGCGUGAAGGAAGAAGUAUUUCGGUAUGUAAACUUCUAUCAGCAGGGAAGAAAAUGACGGUACCUGACUAAGAAGCCCCGGCUAACUACGUGCCAGCAGCCGCGGUAAUACGUAGGGGGCAAGCGUUAUCCGGAUUUACUGGGUGUAAAGGGAGCGGAGGCGGGGGUGCAAGUCAGGAGUGAAAGCCCGGGGCUCAACUCCGGGACUGCUGUUGAAAUUGCGUUGCUUGAUUGCAGGAGAGGUAAGUGGAAUUCCUAGUGUAGCGGUGAAAUGCGUAGAUAUUAGGAGGAACUCCAGUGGCGAAGGCAGCUUACUGGACUGUAAAUGACGCUGAGGCUCGAAAGCGUGGGGAGCGAACAGGAUUAGAUACCCGAGUAGUC
rnacentral:rRNA from 1 species